GCGAACGGCUCAUUACAACAGAUAUAAUCUACUUGUUCUAUUCUUUAAACGGAUAACUGCGGUAAUUCUGGAGCCAAUACGUGCUAAAAGCCGAAUUCAGCAAUGAGUUGGGUGCACUUAUCGGAGCAAAAUCAAUCUUGAUUCAUGCUAACUCUAGAUAACUAAGCUUAUCGCAUGACCUUGUGUCGGCGAAAUUACAUUCGAGUAUCUGCCUUAUCAACUAUCGUUGGUAGUGUAUUGGACUACCAUGGUGUUGACGGGUAACGGAGAAUCAGGGUUCGACUCCGGAGAGGGAGCCUUAGAAACGGCUACCAUGUCUAAGGACAGCAGCAGGCGCGCAACUUAUCCACUGUUCAUUGAACGAGAUAGUGACGAGAAAUAACAAGCUCGUUCUCUUUGAGGUCGAGCAUUGGAAUGGAUGAAAUCUAAACAAUUUCAUGAGUACCCACGAGAGGGCAAGUCUGGUGCCAGCAGCCGCGGUAAUUCCAGCUCUCGUAAUGUAUAGAAUUAUUGUUGCGGUUAAAAAGUUCGUAGUUGGAUUUAUACUGCAAGCAGGUAAUUUUUAACGAAAUUCACUUGCUACAGUGUUGCAUGUAAAGGGCUUGCUCUUCGCAUGUAGAUUACUUUGAACGGCUUAAGUGCUCAAGGCGAGUCUUCGGACUGAAUACCGGUGCAUGGAAUAAUGGAACAAGGUUUCGGCCGAGUUUUAUUGGUUUGUCGGCUAAAACAACGGUUAACAGGAACAGCUGGGGGCACUCGUAUUGCUGCGCGA
rnacentral:rRNA from 1 species